CCUCCGCUUCCCCCAAGGUUGGCGCCCGGGAGCCGUGCUCUGGGACCACACUCCUCUUUGGCUCUGGGAAUUUCUCCUCCCACGUGGAGGCCCCCACAGCAGUGGACACCACCCAGCCAGGCCCACCUGACCGGUCAGGCUCAAACCCUCUGGUACCCGCCCCACCCAUAGGACCAGGUGUAAACCAGGCAGCGACACCCCAGACGUGUGGUCUUGGUCAGCUCCCCUGGGCUCCUCUCCCUCCAGCUGGCCCUUCUCUGCCCAGGAAACAGUUUUCUGAAGAGUUCUCCGUUCUCGAGCCUUCCAGCUGCGUGGGAGAGAGUUGACCCCAAGGCUGGGACCACAAGAGGCCAGGGAGGGUGGGCCUGGGAUCUGCAGCUCACGGGCUGUGUGACUGUGGGCACGAGAUUUCAUUUCCUGAUUCAUAAAGGUGGGGACCGAUCAAAGCUACUCCUUGGACCUUUGUGAAGAUUAAAUGAGUUCAACACGGAGCAUUCUUGACCCAUGGGCCAUCCCCAGAUGAGGCUGCAGCAUUGCCCCGUGUGCUCUCAGCUGGUGCCAGUGUUGUCUGGAACUGUCUGGACCUACCUGGAAACUGAGUAUUUCUCUGAAGAAGUCUGCAGCCCUUUGGCAGCGUGGCUGCAGAUGGAAGGAAGGAAACAGUUCGCCCUGGAGAAUGGCUAGGCAGCACCUCUGAGCCGAGCAUCCCACCCGCUCUGACUGGCCCACAAUCGUGGGGCCAGUGGUAUCUCAGAGCCCUUCUACCUACAGGGUUUUGUCACUUACAGUGAUUGCCAUGGUCUGAAUGCUUGUGUCCUCCUCGAAAGUUCUGACAGCUCACUUCAUUUCACGUGGUGUGCAAGCUUCUGUCAAACAACGGAACAAACUAUGAGAACCACUUCCAGCCACUGCUUCUGCACACUUCUCUGCUAAGUGAGUCUCUGCUGUGUGAGUCUCAUUGGUAAAACUACCCUGAUCUAACAUUCUGUUACCUCCUUUGUGGUCCAACACUCCAAGAGUCCACGGCCUCAGACGCCCCUGGGUUUCUGCUGAUGUAAAUUGGCAAAAACUUGCAUUCAGUGUGUAUGUGGCUCCUCUUGGGUCUCACUGUGUGUUUAUCCCUCUGCACCCAACUCUAGUCAUGGCUCUGGGAAUAAUGAGGGUCGGUGGAGGUGGAUCUCAAGGGAGAUCUGUCAUCUUGCAAGGCUGUUUCCUCAAGUGAAGCCAUCACAGAUCUUUGGGCACAGUUUUACUCACCUCAGACUCUAAGGAAGAGUCACUUCUGCUUACAGGGAGACUCAGGAAGGUCUAAUGUUCAGGGGACUCAGAGUCAGAGAAAUCCACCCUCUCCAGUUCUCGAGGUCUCAUUCUUUCCAAAUAAAUGCCUUAACUUUGACUUAAGAGAUUUAGUAAGACAUUUAAUUAUUCUUUAGUUGUAAUUCAUUAGCCUGCAAGAUCAAAUUUGUACUCUGCAUUUAAAAAAAAAAGUUGACUCUACAGCUACAAGAACUAAAAUGGUUUUUUUAGGACAGCUAUAGAAGGGCUCUGGUUCUCUGUCUAUACCUUCAGCUGAGCACUUAAGGCCACAGCUUGUCAUUUUCUUUGUCAGUUCCCCAGUGCAAUAAGCAGCAGCCACCCCAUGCCACAUCCUUGUAUGCAUGGUUUCCAUCCACAUCCUAAUGUCCUAUUGCAAGAGCCCCCUGGUGUCUGAAACCCAGGCUUGUGAUGGGCACUGCAUCGCAGAGACCUCAAGGUAAUGAUUUUACCAGUGACAAUGUUUAUAGAUUAUCUGCAUCCUGCUUCCCACUCCUCACGUGGUCCUCACUGACAUCAGACAAAACCUGGUCUGUCCAAUUACUAACUCCAGAUUCCCAUCUUCAAGGUUCUGCCUUCCUGGAAACACUGCUGGUACCAGGAAUGGUUGGUCGGGAACACUAAAGUCACUCUAGGUAUUUUGGGUAGAAGGAGAUUCAUUGCAGGGAACUCUAGGCUUACAGAAAUGUUGAGAACUUUGGGGACUGAAGGUUAUUUCAGGAGAUCUGGAAGUGCAGGGAUAGAAGGGUAGCAUCCAUUGCCCCCUGAUAACUGUACCACUGACAUGGCUAGAAACCACCCCAGUGAUCCCAGCUGCUUGUAGCACCUCAGGGUGAUUCUCAAACUGACUCCAGAAGCCAAGGUACACUGCUGCCAAUGACUGCAGGGGCCUCUGCAAAACGGACGUUGAUGAAUGAAACAAAGUGUGAUCUACCCAUAGCAGGGAAUGUUAUUCAUCCUUAAAAAGGAAGGAAAUCCUGCAGCUCACGCCUGUCAUCCCAGCUCUUUGGGAAGCUGAGGCAGGAGAAUGGCUUGAGGCCAGGAGUUUGAGACCAGCCUGGGCAACAUAAUGAGACCCCCGUCUCUACAAAAAACAAUUUAAAAAAUUUGCUGUAGUCCCCGCUACCCAGGAGACUGAAGCAGGAGGAUAGCUUGAGCCCAGGAAGUUGAGGCUGCAGUGAGCUAUGAUCUCUCCUGUCUCUAAAAAAGAAAAAAAAUAAAAGGAAAGAAAUUAAUUCUCACACAGGCUACAAAAUGGAUGAACCUUGAGGACAUUAUGCUGAAUCAAAGAAGCCAUUCAGCAAAGGAUAAAUCCUAUAAGCUUCCCCGUAUAUGAGGAACCCAGAGCAGUGAAAUCCCCAGUGACAGGAAGUGGAUGGUGGGCACCAGGGGCUGGCAGAGAGGAUGGGAGUCAGUCUUCCAUGGGGACAGGGACAGCUUCAGUUUGGGAAGCUGAAGAAGUUCUGGAGAUGAUGAUGGUGGUGACAAGUGCACACCAACGUGAAUGUAUCAGGGACAGCUUCAGUUUGGGAACUUGAAGAAGUUCUGGAGAUGACGAUGGUGGUGACAGGUGCAUACCAACGUGAAUGUAUCAGGGACAGCUUCGGUUUGGGAAGCUGAAGAAGUUCUGGAGAUGAUGAUGGUGGUGACAGGUGCACACCAAUGUGAAUGUAUCAGGGACAGCUUCGGUUUGGGAAGCUGAAGAAGUUCUGGAGAUGAUGAUGGUGGUGACAGGUGCACACCAACGUGACUGUAUCAGGGACAGCUUCAGUUUGGGAAGUUGAAGAAGUUCUGGAGAUAAUGAUGGUGGUGACAGGUGCACACCAACAUGAAUGUAUCAGGGACAGCUUUGGUUUGGGAAGCUGAAGAAGUUCUGGAGAUGAUGAUGGUGGUGACAGGUGCACACCAACGUGAAUGUAUCAGGGACAGCUUCGGUUUGGGAAGCUGAAGAAGUUCUGGAGAUGAUGAUGGUGGUGACAGGUGCACAGCAAUGUGAAUGUAUCUAAUGGCACUAAACUGUGCACUUUAAAACUGCAUGCAUUUACAAUGGUAAAUUUUAUGUUAUGCGCAUUCCACUGUAGUGAAAAAGAGUUAACUUCACCUGAAAUGAAUUCGUGUGGUAACCAUUGG
rnacentral:lncRNA from 1 species